GACGACCGAAAGCCGCGAUGUUCGCUCCGCACAGAUGCUUGGGUAUCUACGCUUGCGAGCAGGCUAAGGUCUGAGUAUACCGUCUCCCUCGAUCGACUCUAGCUGGGUUCCCCGUUAUGAAGGGGCGCAACCUACCAGAAACCCAGCCAUGUCAUAGCCUGAGUCCCGGAGACCUGCGGAUCCGGUCCCCAAUGGGUGUGGUCCGAUUCUGGAUCCUGAUCUGUUCCGCGAGGGAUGCUUGACAUGGCGAUGGGAUUGGUUGUGGAGACUGGGCUCGCUGGCUACGUACCGCUUUCUUUCCUAUCGCGCUGACGACGGACCAAUCGGUCUCUCCGGGUCUUUCGAGCUGCAUUCCCCGCAGGUUUCACUGAUGGUGCUUGCCAUUCAUACCGCCUCGGCACAUCGUUGAAAGGCGUACGAGGGACGUCAGAACGCGUACGUCCGACCGACGAGCCCUUUAGUGCACUUCGCGGCGCGUGGUGCUACUUCCACGUAACUCGAUUCAGACUACUCUUGGUCGUC
rnacentral:RNase_P_RNA from 2 species